rnacentral:rRNA from 1 species
AUUGAACGCUGGCGGCAGGCCUAACACAUGCAAGUCGAACGAGUGGCGGACGGGUGAGUAAUGGCUGGGAACCUGCCUGAUGGAGGGGGAUAACUACUGGAAACGGUGGCUAAUACCGCAUAGCAUCAGCUGUGCCCAGAUGGGAUUAGCUAGUUGGUGGGGUAACGGCUCACCAAGGCGACGAUCCCUAGCUGGUCUGAGAGGAAGACCGGCCACACUGGAAUGUAGAAACGGUCAAGACUCCUACGGGAGGCAGCAGUGGGGAAGAUUGCACAAGGGGCGCAAGCCUGAUGCAGCCAUGCCGCGUGUAUGAAGAAGGCCUUCGGGUUGUAAAGUACUUUCAGCGGGGAGGCGUUACCCGCAGAAGAAGCACCGGCUAACUCCGUGCCAGCAGCCGCGGUAAGUC